rnacentral:lncRNA from 1 species
CAAAUAGCAUUUAGAGUUACAAAACAGAAUUUAUAUUUCAGGCUAAAAGCAAUAUCAGGGUUAGAAGGAAGCGACACUGCCUGAGAAAUAGAUGUGGGAAGAAGGGCCAUAGCAACAAUGUGUCUUGGAAUGGGCCAUAAGAACCAAUUAUUGGCCGAGGUUAUCGGGAAAAUACUAGGGCAUAUGUUGUGAUCAUAAGCAAAGAGUUUAUUGCAUCUUAUUUAAAAGCAUGUGUGGCAUCAGGGGGAUUUCUUUUCUCUACUUUGAUGUUACAAGUGGAAGGGUCUACAGCUUCCGGCUCCACCAGGAAACUCUCCUCUUCCAGGAAAGAGGAGUAGCUUAUAGGAUGGUAAGCUUGGAAGAAGCUGAAGGUGCUUGUCCCAGUCCUUUCUUCCUUCCUCUUUGGGGAUUUGCCACCUACAAAAAGCACAUCUCACUCUGCUCUUCCGCAGCACCCAGAGGAGACACCUGCAUACCUGAUGCUGCCCUGACUGAUUGGGGAGCUAAGUCUCUUGCAGCGGGCAUAUUUGGGAAUCCAUUGUUGCUGCACAUGUAAAUCAUGGCCUUCAAAUCCAGCUGACCCUGUAGCAGAAACACAGGAAUUUUUAUUGACAGGGUUCAUGAUCAAAAUUGUUUAAAGAGUACUCAUUUGUGUCAUACUACUUUUUAUAGCUCCAGUCUCAAACAUGUGUCCAGGACUUCCUAGGUCCUUUGCACACUCCUUCUUGGCUUACACUGUAGACUCAACAUAUCAUCCCAAAGUUCCUUAUGAUAUGAUCAGUCCUAGGUGCUUUGCUCUUCUCUCCGUUUAAUCUUUCCCUAGGUGAUUUCAUCCAAUCACUCUGAGGCUGAUGACACCCAAUUCUUCAUUGCAACCUAAGCCCUCUACUUUAAAUUAAUAUGUGCAUAUUCAAACAGGCUACUCACCUCCUCCACCUGUCUGUCUCAUUAGCACCUCAGACUCAGCACAUUCGAACUAAACUGAUUUCCACCCUGCACCCUGUACAAACUCAUCCUCCCUCGGCUUUCUUUAUCUUGGUAACUGACAAUCUGGAUAUGCAGCUGCACCAGGCAGAUUUCCAACAGUCAUCCUGGACACCAUCCUCUUCCUCAACCACACAUCCAGUGUGAGGAUGCUUCUGAUAACUUGGUUACCAGUGAUUUUUAUCUGCAUUGGAUCUACUUUAAUAAACCCCACAGCCUGAAUAGCAGCUACUAGGGUAGUGCCAGUGGAUGUAUAUGGAGACUGGGCUGGAAUGGCUGAGUGUGUGGGUGCGCAGCUGGGAGCAGCCAUGGCAGUAAGG